rnacentral:tRNA from 1 species
GGCCGGUUAGCUCAGUCAGUUGAGCGUGGCUCUAACAACGUCAAGGUCGCGGGUUCAAUUCCCAUUCGGUCC